rnacentral:tRNA from 1 species
GGUUUCGUGGUGUAGUUGGUUAUCACGUCAGUCUAACACACUGAAGGUCUCCGGUUCAAGUCCCGGCGAAAUCA